rnacentral:rRNA from 1 species
UACGUAGGGUGCGAGCGUUGUCCGGAAUUAUUGGGCGUAAAGGGCUCGUAGGCGGUUUGUCGCGUCGGGAGUGAAAUCCACUGGCUUAACUGGUGGCUUGCUUUCGAUACGGGCAGACUGGAGGUAUGCAGGGGAGAACGGACUUCCUGGUGUAGCGGUGAAAUGCGCAGAUAUCAGGAGGAACACCGGUGGCGAAGGCGGUUCUCUGGGCAUGUCCUGACGCUGAGGAGCGAAAGUGUGGGGAGCGAACAGG